rnacentral:rRNA from 1 species
AGUGAACGCUGGCGGUAGGCCUAACACAUGCAAGUCGAACGGCAGCACAGUAAGAGUUUGCUCUUACGGGUGGCGAGUGGCGGACGGGUGAGGAAUACAUCGGAAUCUACUUUUUCGUGGGGGAUAACGUAGGGAAACUUACGCUAAUACCUCAUACGACCUACGGGUGAAAGCAGGGGAGCUUCGGACCUUUCGCGUUUGUAUGAGCUGAUGUCGGAUUAGCUAGUUGGCGGGGUAAAGGCCCACCAAGGCGACGAUCCGUAGCUGGUCUGAGAGGAUGAUCAGCCACACUGGAACUGAGACACGGUCCAGACUCCUACGGGAGGCAGCAGUGGGGAAUAUUGGACAAUGGGCGCAAGCCUGAUGCAGCCAUGCCGCGUGAGUGAAGAAGGCCUUCGGGUUGUAAAGCCCUUUUGUUGGGAAAGAAAAGAAGCAGGUUAAUACCCGGCUGUUCUGACGGUACCCAAAGAGUAAGCACCGGCUAACUUCGUG